rnacentral:lncRNA from 1 species
CGCAGGGCGCGGAUCCCACGAGUCGGAGCCGGCGGAUCCGAGCCGGUACAUCGGAGCCAGAGCUUGGAGGGAUUGAACUCAGGACCUUGCACUUGCCAGGCAGGCAUGGCACCACUGAGCAACACCCCUGGCAUCCCUCAAGUAGAAAUAUGCUGGAGACAAAUGGUUUGUCCAUCGGAAUUUUAUAGAUUUUGAUAAACUGUUCUCUAAGACACGUGUAUCAAUUAGGCUUCCCCCCAGCAAUGUAUGAAGUGACAGUGUGAAGUCCCCCACACCAUCAGUACGACCAAGUAUCUCAUGAUAAUAAAUCAUUGUGGAAGAAGCCAAGAGAGGGUGAGAAGGCAGCUGGAAAACCAGUCAGCAGGCUGGGGCAGCUGUCCAGAGAAGAGAUGAUAGGUACCUGAACUGGCACAAGAGAAAGAGAGGAGAGGAUAGAACCCAGAGCCAGUGUGGAGGUCAAAUCAAGGAUUCCCCAGUUUAUGGUUUGAACAAAUGCGUACACAAUGGUUGUAUUUCCUGAGAUGCUGAACCAGAAGAGGAAUAGUCAUAGUAAAGGGAAGUGAUUUUAGCUGAGAACAUAUUGAGCUUGACAUUCAGGACAUUCUGAUAGAAGAAUCUACUGGACCAGAG